UACAGAGGUCUCAAGCGUUGUUCGGAUUCAUUGGGCGUAAAGGGUGCGUAGGCGGCGCGGUAAGUCGGGUGUGAAAUCUCGGAGCUUAACUCCGAAACUGCAUUCGAUGCUGCCGUGCUUGAGGACUGGAGAGGAGACUGGAAUUUACGGUGUAGCGGUGAAAUGCGUAGAUAUCGUAAGGAAGACCAGUGGCGAAGGCGGGUCUCUGGGCCGUAACUGACGCUGAGGAGCGAAAGCGUGGGGAGCGAACAGG
rnacentral:rRNA from 1 species